GAGCUUCUCCUCAGCCUCCUCUGAUUCGCUCUUGGCUCUUCCUUCACUGUGUCCCAGCCUCUCUUUAACAUGUUCACAGUGGAGCUGUCAUUUGUAUUCUCACCACCAGGCAGCUUGAGCCUGCGGGCACCUGCAUGACUGUCCCAUGCGUGAUUGUCCCACUUCUACACUUGUGGUACGAGUCGCUGAUGGUGGGACAAUCUUGCCGAUACCAUGGGGGUUCGAGCUGGCGAGAACGUGUGGCCCCUUUCCUCCAGCUGGCUCUCCCAUGAGCCGCCUCCGUGAACACACCAAGGAGAGAGACUGUGCCUGCAGACAUCUGCCUCUGGUCAGCCCUGUUCCCGAGAAGCCUGGGGAGGAGAGGCAUUCAUGGCGCUCAGUACUUUCCGAAGCAAACUGGGAUUCUGCUGGUGGGGAGAGAGGUGAAGAAUGGUGCGAAUGCACUUGCAUCUGCCGAAGCGCUCAGAGACGUUUGCCAGAGGCCUCGAGGGACACUGGAGGCGGGGAAACUGGAUCAGGGCACAGAGCUGAACCUGGGUCCCUGUGCGGUCUGACUCGGGCAGCUUGGUGGUGGAGCAGGACGUGGAACACGGGGUGGUUUGGGGUCUUCUGGGUCCAGGAGCCUGUGGUCCAGUCGCUCCUCCUGCAGCUUCUCCGGCUGCUCUGCUGGGAAGCAGUGAUGUGCCAGACCCCCCGGGGCAGAUCUGCUCUUUCCCCUCCUCACCCCUUUCUCUCUGGGCCAACGUUCCCAGGGUCAAACCUGCAGCCUCCAGCCUGGGGCCUCUGCUCCUGGAUCUGUGGCAAAGGCCUUGCUGUACAUGGUCAGUUUGUUCUUCGUAGGGCAGAAGGAAAAGCUUCCGUGUGUGGUGCUCUGUGUUCCAAGCCACAGCCCGGGCUUCUCUGCUUCAGAUGCUGGGUCCCUCUGCAUGGGUGACCACGUGGGGACCCGAGGGCCGGGGAGUCGUGGGGUCCACGUUAGGAAGGGCCUGGGUUUCCACAUCUCCAUGCAGAACGGUGACAUGGGUGACAGCAGUAACCUCCCUGUGUCCCUCUUGGGGAGCUGGGCUGUCUGCUCCAGCAUGUGCCAUCCUUGACACUGAACCAGCACAGUCUGCUUGCCUUCCUCCCACAGGAAGUCCUGUGUCGAGGUUUACAGAAGCCUUCGGAAUAAGGCUAAGUUCACAACUUCCGCUAAUUGGCUGUGUGACUUGGGGUACGUUACUUCGCUUCUCUGUACCCUGAAAACAUAAUAAUGUCAGAUAAUGAACCAAACCAACUGCAUUCUGCAUACUGUUGUGGGGGUCGAAGGGAAGACCUAUGUACUGCGCUUGGGUAGUUGUGUCUGGUCCAUAGUAAACAUGGUGUAAGAAUGGCCUGUUACUGUUCCCAUCCACCUCACCCUUCAGCCACUCCAGUACCCCAGCAUGGGGCCAGCCAGAGCCAAGGUGUUGAUUUGAUUCCUCUUGGCUCUUUCUCCUCUUGGCAUUUUCUCAGGGACGAUGGUGACUGCACCCACACCAGCAUUUUGCAAUAGAGCACUGUAGUCUGCUUGUACUUCUACAGAGCUUUGUUUCACUUUCUGCUGUUUCUCUAUUUGGAGUGGAAGCCUUUUGAAAGCAGAGACCGACAGAUAACUAUUGAUUCCUAACUAAGCAGUGUCGGGUUGAGAGUGAGGAGCGAUGAGACUUGUACUGUAGGAGGUAGAAAUGUUUGGACCCCAAGAUGGCACCAUGCCUGCCCAUCUCCAGACCACAGGGGACCUGAGCAAGAGCAGUAAAGAACACAAGGCCUGGGAUUUAGCUCAGUGGUUUCGUCACCUGCUGCGCAAGCUCCAGGACCCGAGUUCGAUCCCAGGUACCAAAAAAAUAAAAGAACACAAAACACAGCCACGGCCCCGCAUCCUAGCAUGGAACAGCAUCUGACUGACUGUUCGGAAGUUUUGGUUGCUGCCAUGUGCGUAUCUUAGAUGCUGAUGUGAUUAUCCUAGCUAGUAUUUAUGAAGCACUAUGCUGCAAUUUCUUCUUCAAUGCUCACACCACUUGUGGGUGCCAUUAUUUUUCUCACUUUGCAGCAUCGAAGAGGCUGAGUGACAUACUUCAUGUCACACAAUUAAGAAGCCUACGAUCCGACUUCACGCAGGGAUCUGGGGACAGGGGCACAGGGGAGUCCUCGACAGGUGUUUGUGCAGAGGCAAAUGGCGGGGAGGCUUUGAAGAAAACUGCACAAGAUUUGCAGAGACCUUUGAGGGUCUGGUGUGGCCUCCAGAUGGCAUCUGCCAUCACAGGGCCUGGGGCACAAUCUCUGCAAGGCUCAGAAAGAACAUCUGCACUUCAAUAACAAAAUCCUUGGAAAAAAUCAUGUUGCAAAAGGAAAUCUUGACAUGGUUCCACCGUGGCGUGGUCGGGGGAGACAGGGGAGCCUGAAGUCCUCCGGUAAACUGCUUAGAGUCUGCAGGGCUGCUUCCCUUCCUUCUUGAUGUGUGUGAAAGACAGAGCAAGUAAUCCCUUUUCUCAAACUUCUGCUCACCCCGAGAACUUGACUCUGAGAGAAGAGGAAGAAUUGGGUGAGGUGCAGUCGGACUGCACACUCAGGAUGAGGGUCUCUGCUUAGCACCCGGUGGGCUCUGUGGUCCAUGUGGAACAGUCUUGUGCAAGGGAUUGUGCUGUGGU
ensembl:lncRNA